UACGGGGGGGGCAAGCGUUGUUCGGAAUUACUGGGCGUAAAGGGCGCGUAGGCGGUUUGCUAAGUUGGAUGUGAAAACUCUGGGCUUAACCCAGAGCCUGCAUCCAAAACUGGCAAACUUGAGUACUGGAGGGGGAAGCGGAAUUCCUGGUGUAGCGGUGAAAUGCGUAGAUAUCAGGAGGAACACCGGUGGCGAAGGCGGCUUUCUGGACAGUAACUGACGCUGAGGCGCGAAAGCUAGGGGAGCAAACAGG
rnacentral:rRNA from 1 species